rnacentral:sRNA from 1 species
GAUCAAGGUGUCACAUGACCCAUCAAAGAGCAUCCUCCGUGGACCAAUAUUUAUUGUACCACCAAAUUAUCUCGAUUGAAAACGUAAUUUGAAUUGAAAAUUUAUGAGAUAAAUGGGAAAAAGGAAGAUAAUAAAAUGUAAAACAUUAUUGAGUGCAUAUUCAUUGAUGGCUGUAUGUAGGUUUUGCUCAAUAGUUAAAAUAAUGAAAUGAUCACAUUCGCAUGACAAAAGAGAG